rnacentral:rRNA from 1 species
CCCUUAGAUGUUCUGGGCCGAACGCGCGCUACACUGAUGCAUUCAACGAGUCUAAAACCUGCUCUGAUAGGGGUGGGUAAUCUUUUGAAUGUGCAUCGUGAUUGGGAUAGAUGAUUGCAAUUUUUCAUCUUCAACGAGGAAUGCCUAGUAAACGCAAGUCAUCAGCUUGCAUUGAUUACGUCCCUGCCCUUUGUACACACCGCCCGUCGCUCCUACCGAUUGAAUGAUCCGAUGAAUAUCAUGGAUUGAGGAUGCAAGUAGGUUAGCCUAUCUUCAUCUUCGAGAAGUGAAGUAAAUCUUAUCAUUUAGAGGAAGGAGAAGUCGUAACA